rnacentral:lncRNA from 1 species
AAAAAAAGGAUUGGGGAUUUCUUUGGGGUAAAAUGCUGAAAUACUUUUUCUAUUCAAACUCCCAUUAAAUAUUAUCUUUCCAGGUCUUGGCUGUAGAGUACAGCUGAACUGGAGAAAUCUUCUGCCUGAAGCCAAAACAAACAGAAAAUCACUAACAGAAAUAAGGUGGGUGACUUCAAACAGAAGAGGUACUGGUUACUGGUUUCAGAGGUGAAGAAAAUAAAUACAUUUAAAGAAGACAGACAUCUAGGGCACUUCUUGGAAUCCACAGGAAAAUCAUAUGGGAUUACAAAACCAGAGCAGAAUUGCUGAAAGCUGCCUCUCGAGGAUUGCAACUUCACCUUUUGCUUUUACGGAUGCUUGUUUACUAUCCUUGUGGUAACCUCUGGACAGCCAGUAAUCCAUUCAUUAUCCACACUGAUUGAGUGCAGGAGUAGUGCAGUGGUAACUACUUCACUCAGCUGACGG